GUCACGUUCAAUAUGAAUGUACUCCUACAUUCUAACUGUAUGCUAUAACAGUAUCUCCAUACUCCUUGGUUAAGAGGACAACCAACUUAUAUGGCACACAAUGAUCUAAACUCGAUAUUGCUAUCAUCAUAUUAAUAGCAUAUCAUUUGAUCACGAACACUUUUAAGAACUCAAUGACAAAUCUUUCUUUAUCGAUUAAUUAUAGUCUUAAGG
rnacentral:lncRNA from 1 species